AAAAUUUGCAGGAAGACUACGAACUCCAUUUCUUAAAAUGAUCGUACCGUUGUUGUUAACUUAGUCAAAUACUCUUAAGGCUUAAUGACACAAAAACCUAUCACUGUACCCACUUUUCUCUAUCAAUUGCAACUUCUUUCGCAUUUCCGACUCUCGACAAUACUAAGUCUUCUCCUAAUCUUAUUCGUAUACAUUUGUCAUGCCUGUCUUCUGGGUCUCUAAGUAUUCGAUCUCCGUCUAGUUGUCUGUCCAAUUAGUCCGUCUGGUAACCGGAAAUGUUCCACUCUAAGGUUCCAACUGUACUAUAGCUUGGCGAUAUUGGUUUUAUAAUUCUUU